rnacentral:rRNA from 1 species
CCGGAGGGAAACCGAGUCUUAAUUGGGCGUUAAGUUGCAGGGUAUAGACCCGAAACCCGGUGAUCUAGCCAUGGGCAGGUUGAAGGUUGGGUAACACUAACUGGAGGACCGAACCGACUAAUGUUGAAAAAUUAGCGGAUGACCUGUGGCUGGGGGUGAAAGGCCAAUCAAACCGGGAGAUAGCUGGUUCUCCCCGAAAGCUAUUUAGGUAGCGCCUCGUGAAUUCAUCUCCGGGGGUAGAGCACUGUUUCGGCUAGGGGGCCAUCCCGGCUUACCAACCCGAUGCAAACUGCGAAUACCGGAGAAUGUUAUCACGGGAGACACACGGCGGGUGCUAACGUCCGUCGUGAAGAGGGAAACAACCCAGACCGCCAGCUAAGGUCCCAAAGUCAUGGUUAAGUGGGAAACGAUGUGGGAAGGCCCAGACAGCCAGGAUGUUGGCUUAGAAGCAGCCAUCAUUUAAAGAAAGCGUAAUAGCUCACUGGUCGAGUCGGCCUGCGCGGAAGAUGUAACGGGGCUAAACCAUGCACCGAAGCUGCGGCAGCGACACUGUGUGUUGUUGGGUA